GUCCACUGAUUCGUUAAAGCAUCUAGCUUAGUUGCUCAAAUUUCUACGUCUGCAUUGAUCUCAGCUGGUGAUCGAUCAUCAGGGGGCUCGGAAGAUUCUCUGGAAGAAUUUAGAAUAUUCACAACUUCGAUUUCAGGUGGAAAGGAGGAGACUGAAAGACUCUUCGGAAUGUCACAGGGAGCGGAAGAUUUCCACCUUGGAGAGAUCCAUUCAUG
rnacentral:misc_RNA from 1 species